rnacentral:rRNA from 1 species
UACAGAGGUCUCAAGCGUUGUUCGGAUUCAUUGGGCGUAAAGGGUGCGUAGGCGGCGCGGUAAGUCGGGUGUGAAAUCUCGGAGCUUAACUCCGAAACUGCAUUGGAUACUAUCCGGCUCGAGGAAUGGAGGGGAGACUGGAAUACUUGGUGUAGCAGUGAAAUGCGUAGAUAUCAAGUGGAACACCAGUGGCGAAGGCGAGUCUCUGGACAUUACCUGACGCUGAGGCACGAAAGCCAGGGGAGCAAACGGG